CAGUCACGCUGCCUAAAAAGCGCGUGGCCAAUCAUACUAGCGCACGAUUUCAACCGGUAGCAGAUAGUUCUUACGAAUCCUCGUCAAACUCAGUUCACUUAACUCUACGUUCCCUCUCCCUCACUCCCAAAAUGACUCCCCUCUUCCUCCUACUACUCCUCUCCUCCGCCUUCAUCUCCACCGCCACCACCGCAUACCCUUCCAUCCCCGGGACGGAUUCCACCACCGACUGCGGCCUCUCGGGAGGAGACGAGAAUCUGAUUCCCAUCCGUCGCGAAGUCUACGGUAAUGGCAGAAUAUUCGACAUCAGCCAUAGGUACACCGCCGACAUGCCGUCGUGGGAAUCCAAAGACGGCAUAGGACAGUUCCUUUGGUUGCCUAAAAGCAUGAAGAACGGUUCCCUAGCUAAUAAUUCCGAGAUGAAACUUCCCACUCACACCGGCACGCACCUCGACGCUCCCGGCCACGUCAUUGAUCGGUACUUCGAUGCCGGCUUCGAUGUGGACACUCUUGAUUUGGAAGUACUUAACGGUCCUGCACUGCUGGUAGAUGUUCCAAGGGACAAAAAUAUAACCGCUGAGGUUAUGGAGUCUUUGAAAAUACCCAAGGGAAUACGUAGAGUUCUUUUCAGAACAUUAAAUACCGACAGGCGGCUAAUGUUUAAGAAAGAGUUUGACACAAGCUAUGUGGGAUUUAUGAAGGAUGGGGCAGAAUGGUUGGUUAAAAACACUGACAUCAAAUUUGUUGGAAUUGAUUACUUAUCUGUUGCAGCCUUUGAUGAUCUGAUUCCAUCUCAUCUUGUUUUUCUAGAAGGCCGGGAUAUCAUUCUUGUGGAAGGCCUAAAACUUGAUGACAUCCUACCUGGGAUAUAUUCGGUUCAUUGCUUACCUUUAAGGUUGCUUGGUGCUGAAGGAUCGCCAACAAGAUGCAUUCUCAUCAAAUGAUAUAUAUUCCUUGCUUAACUUCUGCAAAUGCUACACGCUCAACUGCUUCUUAUGUUAGGGUAAAAUGAUAGCGCUAAGGGGUGUUGUUGAUCGGAAUAAGACAAAUAAAGAGUUGAUGAGUUUGAACUGAAGGCUGUUCCACACUUGUAGAGAGGAUGUAGUGCAGAAAUUUAGUUGCAUUGAAGUACACUUUUCUUGUAAUGCAUCUGUUUAGCUUUUUGAUUGAUGACAUUAGGAACAUACACUUAUUUGGUAGUGUUUCUGAAUAUCAUGGCUAGAUUUGGUCACUGCUUGCAAUUGUCGGCAAUGAUGUCUAUCAGUCUUCUUGACAUCCCGAAAUAAUUUUGACAGAUCCAUAAUUGGAAAAGCCAUCUCUAUGAAAGAUAAAUAUGUGUGUCAGUAUAUGGGUUGUGUUUA